GCCCCCGUCCAGGCGCGUGUCUCGCGCUCGGAACUUCAUUUAUUAUUCUUUGAGCCCAUUAAAUUCCGCAUCCUCCCCAAGGACACGCGGAAACAGGGGGUUCCAGAGGCCUUGCAGGAUGAACCCAGUGAAGAGCGGCAGGUUUGUUGACCAAAGAGCCGGCGAAGCGUCUCCUCGAACCUCCCGAGGUACAGGUGCCAGUUCAUGUGCUACGCGCCCCGCUGAUCCUCCGACUCAGGAAGGAGCGCAACACUCGCAGAAAAGGGCUGAGUAACUAAGCAGGAGGACAAAGAGGGAGCAGAAGUGCGACGCACACACAGAAAUUUUCCACGUUUUAAAAAUGGGCCGUUCCAAAGCGGUUGGGCUGAGCUGCGGGAGCCGAGGGCAUGGCAGGCGGACUGACGGACCGAGGGACGCCGGCUCCGGCUCAGUGCUGGAACGCACUCGUGCUCUUAUCUCUACAACAUCGUAAUCACUUAACAAAGACUCCGCCAUUCGCACAAAUUAAAACAUCAAUAAUGCACGAGUGCUCUUCAGGCCCCGUCGCGGACACCCCCCUGCAUGGGGAUGAAGGACGCGCCGAAAGACGCGACGGCCCGAUGGCCCAACGCCACCACGCCCGGGCCGAACCCCCAGGGCGAGGGCUCCUACUCUGCUCCGCUGCGGCUGCAGGGCCGAGUGGGAGCGGAAGGGUUAAAUGAAAGACGGUCACUAAGCGCCUCGGAGUGACACUGCGAACAAGCCGAGCGACGGAAACAAAGACGGCAAGUGAAGCUCUCCUCCGCUGGGAAAACGCACACCGCAGUCGGCGGCUGCACACUCAGCUCCCAGAAGGGAAGCAUGCAGUUGUACCCUGAACGGCCUGAACGUCUUCGUCUAAAAAGUGUCCACUUUGUUUUAAUGGUGUUUAGCGUGUGGCGACUACUGACUCAAGGAACUUGCUGGAAAAUUAAAAAAUACAUCAACAGUAAUAAUGUCUCCUCCAGACUUCCCCCCUCAACAGUUUUCAGAUAAAUUUAAAGUUUAAUUUUAAGCAACCAAAAAUAAUAUGGUGCCCUUAAUAACUGGCAUAUACGUAAAUGAAUGUAUGUACGAAGACUAAGAUGAGCCAGAGCGGGAGACGUCAUAGAGAGGGGAUGGGAAGGGGACGAGGACACGUGACCACGUGAGACUGUGUCAUCCGGUGGGAGCCCCUGGUCCCGAGGAAGAGCGCUUCUCGCCCCGAAGCCGACAGAUGAUCCUGCCUUGGUCCUGCCAAACACCAGCCCAAGAGCGUCUUAUCGACAUGAACCUUGUAAAUUCGUGGUUUCAGUUGAAAUGGAAAAUUUCACCUAAAUUGCAACAAAUUUUUCAAUGCAAGUAAUUAUGUGAGACACUAAAAAUAUUUUAAAGAAAGAUGACAGCUUAAUGCAACGAUGCAUGUUAUACCGAAGAGCAUUUGAGAUGCAUGCAAACCAGAGAAACCCUUUUUACCGGGGUGCGGAUGAGUAACGCUUGUUAGUUACUAGAUGUCAAAUAAUGUCUUUCAUCUCUUAAGAAAAAUAAACAGCCUUCCUUUUCAAUCACGUCUUUUGAGAUGUACAAAGGAAGGGCUUUCCGAGUUUCCUUUAUUCAUUCCUCCUCGUUUCCUUUCUUUCUUUUUUCUUUCCUUUUCUUUCUUUCUUUUUCUUUCUUUCUUUCUUUCUUUCCUUUAGUUGUUGCCCUGAUGAACAAUCCCCUUGUUAGCAAACUGUUAAGACAGCAGCUUGGUACACAAAUUGCGCUCGACCAAGCGAAUUUGUUUUGCAAGGGUGACCUGUUUAAUCAUCUCAUUUUCUUUUGCGGACGUUUAUUCAUCUGGUUUCCACGGUUACGGAGAACAUUAAGGGGCUUCAGUAAUAAGGCUGGAGAGUCAAACAGGUAAUAAAAAAAUUAACGCCAUUUUCCAGUAUCCGAGGACAGGCGGCGAAAUGAAUCGGGGGGACGGGGUGGGGGGAGGGAGCAUGAGAGCGGCCCGAGAGGGGGGCUUCCAAUAUUUUCCAAACAAUUAAGACCUUGACUGGUUAUGUUACUCAGAAGGAAAGAUCAGGUGGUGGUCUUGCAGACGCCACGCGUCCAGCCUCACGGGCGCACCGGGUAUGGAGCCAGGUCUUAAAGACACACGGACCGCGGUUUACCGUGGUACGAGGACAAUUCAAAACUUACUGUGCUGCGCUCCCCUCAUCCUCAUCACCCAGUCCCCUGGCGUGUGUUAUCAUUGCCCCAAAUUUCGUAUCACUGCUCCUCCUUAUUUUGUGCCCUCCUGCGCACGAAAAAACCACUUUCGCUGGAGGUCACACGUAGGAUCUCGCCGGCAAAUCGGCGCUGCUGCGGAGCGCGAUCCAGAGAAGAGCACUUGUGCCAAACGUGUCGGAAGAUGCGGCCCGCACCCCCGCCGCUGGGAACAGCGACCUCCAGGCCAAUCGAUAGCGCUCCGCUUCUGGCCAAAUAUAGAAGAUUCCGGCACAAUGGAAGACAGGUGUCAGGGGCCUCCGAGGAAGAAGCGUGCGCUUUGCACAACUGUGCUUUUCCGCGCGAUCCCAGGGUCUCGCCAAAUAAGGGAAGAGACGCUGCAGCGGGACCGAUCACGCUCAACGGGGCGACUUGCGCCACCGAGGACACGUUUUUCUCACGCACGCGAGCGAGAGGAAAGGCAGUCGAACGUGUGCGCUGAGGUGCCUCCGCGUACAGCUUGACAGCUGCACUUUACGGCAAUGUCCCUCUCGCUUUGCCACAGCUGCGCUUUUUCCAUUGU